rnacentral:piRNA from 1 species
ACUCAAGGAAGUAGGGAUGGCCAGGU